rnacentral:rRNA from 1 species
CGAUCUAAGGAUGAAAGUGGGGGAUUCGCAAGAACCUCAUGCUCCUGGAGCGGCCGAUAUCUGAUUAGCUAGUUGGUAGGGUUAAAGCCUACCAAGGCAUCGAUCAGUAGCUGGUCUGAGAGGACGACCAGCCACACUGGAACUGAGACACGGUCCAGACUCCUACGGGAGGCAGCAGUGGGGAAUUUUGGACAAUGGGCGCAAGCCUGAUCCAGCAAUGCCGCGUGAGUGAAGAAGGCCUUCGGGUUGUAAAGCUCUUUUGUCAGGGAAGAAACGGAUCUUUCUAAUACAGAGAUCUAAUGACGGUACCUAAG